rnacentral:lncRNA from 1 species
ACCUUUUUGUUUCAAAAAUAAAUAUGAUUGAAAUAUUUUUUAAAAACUACAAUUGUUUUUGUUGAAUACAAAUAUUGAAUUUUAUUGUUCCAAAAAAUUUAAUUGUUGUUUUUACACCAAACUGAUUGGAACACAAGUACCUUAGAUUCAAUAAAAUAUUUUAUUGGCUAUUGACAUAAUCUGUUUUGCUUUCAAAAAAAGUUUUUUUGUUUCAAAAAAUCCUAAUAUUGAUACACAUACAUAUGCAUUAUAUGAGAGUGUAUUUUUAUAUCCUGCAAAUAAAAAAUAAAAUAAUAUGUUAAUCAGUCCACAGUCCGGGAAGUCCCUCUUCUGCGCCAACUGCAGCCAGUACUUAUAGCUCAGAAAUGCCGUAGGUACGAACAGAUAAAAGGUACCAAGCCAAAAGGCAGAAUAAUUAAUAUCACUUGAGAUAGGUAGACAUGACAUGUAUGAGUAUGUUUUUUUGCUAGUAUGUACGCACGGCCAGACGCCAUUUCCAUGAUUUGAAACAAAGCUAAAAUGGAUUCAACAGAAGAAGUACUGGCUAUGAAUGUUGAGGAAAUUAUUGACGCGCUGGUGGAUUUAUUGCUGAGUUUUGGACUCUCUGAAGAAUUUAUCAAUCGUACCCUGGGUAAGUAAUUGUCUUGUUUCCAUGUAAUUAUCUGAUAAUGAACUUAGGCGCAUUUUUUUGAUCUUUAGAAAAUCAAUAUACCCUUGCAAAUCCUGGAACGGAAGGAAAUUCAAGAAUUGAUGCAUGGAUUGUCCAGGUAUCUCCACCAUUAUCCACAGAUUGCCUUUCGACCGCAUCACCGGUGGUAAGAGAAAGUAAUUCCGAAGCCAUCACUCGUGAACGGUGCAUUGUUAUUUACGUGCUGACCGCGUCAACAAAAUGCCGAGUUAUUUGCAGAAAUGGCAAAUGCAAUUUUUUAACCAGGAGCUUAUAAGAAGGCAAUAACUCAUCUAAUGAUUAUUUGUAAAUGAGAUGUAAAUAAAAUCUAAAUUGAGAGAAAA